GCGAUGGUUGAAUUUUACAUUGGAAAAUUUUUAAAUUAUUUUCGGAAAUUCAAAUGUAAUAAUAUAUGGUAUUACUACUAUUCAAGCAUCUUGUCAUAUUAUUGAUUUUUAUUCUCAGUUAUAGUCUGUGGCCCAUUGACAAUUCUUGGGCCCCACAAGGGAUUCAGAGUUUGAUGUAGGUUUAUAUAUACAUGAGCAAUAAUAUUGUUUAAGGUCUUCUUGAGAACCACAAUGCUCAAUAAGUAAUAUGACUAUGAAUUCAUAGCGUUACAAAAGGGGCUAAAUGUUUAACAAAAAUAUCUGGGGGAAAAUUUGAAAAUCUUUUUAUACAAGAUCAAUAAUACUACAUUGUCCAGAUAUUUUGUAUAUGACACCAUAAAGCUGAUUUUAUCAUGACUGUCGUUACUCAGGUGAGUGAUUUGGCCAAUGGGCCCCUUGUUUUAAGUCAAUUUAGGCCAUUUUCAAUAAAGUUUUGGAUAUAGGAAAAUCACACAAUGAAAGAGUUCUGAGGUAUAAGGUAGUAUCCCUGUGGAGGGGAUAGAAUUUAAAAAGGUACAAACAAACAAACAUACAUAAUAUCCCUUUUUUACAUAUUUAGUGUUAAGAUUCAAUUUCUUAAAAGUUCAUUUAUGUCUUAAAUCCUUUGUUAAAAACAUUCAAAUCCUAUUGACAUUCCUAAUAUGAAUCAAAAGCUCAAAUUCAAAGUACUUAAAUAGAUUACAGACUUAAGAUUAUUAACCUCAAGACAUUGUAACAUUUCUAGCUUUGUCCAUGAUCAUAAUUGGUUGAAAUAGUUUUAAAACAUUAUGUUGAACAGGUUACAGUUGUAUAACUAUAUUGUAGAAUAGCUUGUACCACUUGAAGACUUUUCAUAAACCAAGAAUAAAUAGUGAGUAUAAGGGGAGUGUUAAUAUGGAGGCAGGCUGUAACUGUUUGGUGCUCUUUGUAAUUUUUUUCUAAUGUGUAAUACAUGCAUGUACAAUGUAGAGACAUUUAUGUAGAUAAAAUAACUUAUCCUAACAGUGUGUAGUAUACAUGUAUAUGAUCAAUUUGUAGAAAGUAGAGUCUGAAAAUUUUUGUUAAUUAAUGUUGAUGAUAGGUACAUGUAUGUGUACUUGAAGAUUAUUCUGUUUGAUAUUGUGAUGUAGGAGUGUGUGUUGUUGCAUCUUUAUACCGCUGUACUUUAUUUCUGGCAAUAUUUGUGAGAUUUUUACUCAGCAGCAAUUUUGUUUCCCACCACAAUGAAAAUACAUGUAUUACAGUUCAUGAUUUUAAAAGUCACUUUUUCAUCAAAUUAGAUAUUUUAUUUUUUAAUUAUAUAUUUCAACAUCAAAUAAAAUUCUUGUUCUGUUUAAUGUCUAAAACGAAUACCAUGAUCUAAAAUUGAAUUAAGUAGAGUAAGUAAAAAGCCAUAUAUAUUGUGUUGAUGUUAUUCAGGCACAUAAUCCAAAAUUUACGAGAUAUUAAAUGGAUAUCUAAUAGCAAAUAUGCUUAAAUGUCAAUCAACUAAUAUGAAUUACUUUUUGAUUUAAAAGUAAAAAGAGUUAUUGAAUCAGAAGACUCAUUAUUAUUUUGCAUGUCUCUAUUUUGUUUGCUUGGUAAAUUGGAAGAAAAACAUCUUUGAACAUCUCCAAUAGAAAUUCAGGGAAAACAACAAUUACACACACCCAUAGACCUUUCUAUCCUCAACUCAUUUCUAGAGUCUUUUUACAACAAUCUUCUUUGAUCCACCCACCUGAAAUUCCUAGAGUGUGUUUGUAUUAUUGAAGAUAUCUUUUGAUAGUCUUCUCACACAAAUGUUGACGUAUAUUAGUUUUAAUUGAGAUCUUUAUGUUGUGCAAUAAGCAGAAACAACACUUUGUUGUCAGUGUUGUAGCGUUGUCCUUGUUGAUUUAUAACAACAUUUUUACAAUGAUUUGUUAAGGAUUGUACUGAAAUUCCAUAUCUAUUUUUUCUGUUAUUUUAUAUAAGUUGUUGAUUGUUUUUUACUCAGUUCUUUUGUAAAUUACAUCAAUUUGUACAUUAUUGUUCAACAUUGAUAGUUUAUUAAAUGAUUCAUCUAUGUAGCAAAGU
rnacentral:sRNA from 1 species